rnacentral:rRNA from 1 species
UACGAAGGGUGCAAGCGUUACUCGGAAUUACUGGGCGUAAAGCGCGCGUAGGUGGUCAAGUAAGCGUACUGUGAAAGCCCCGGGCUCAACCUGGGAACUGCCUUUGUGACUGCAAGGCUAGAGUACGGCAGAGGGGGGUGGAAUUCCGCGUGUAGCAGUGAAAUGCGUAGAUAUGCGGAGGAACACCGAUGGCGAAGGCAACCCCCUGGGCCUGUACUGACGCUCAUGCACGAAAGCGUGGGGAGCAAACAGG